rnacentral:rRNA from 1 species
GAGAAGCCGAAAGGCGUAUCUGAUGGACAGCCGGUUAAUAUUCCGGCCCUCUAAUACUUUUCCGGAGGGGGACGCAAUUUAGUAGUCUAGGCGGGUUAUUGGAUUCCCGUCGACUACCUAAGGGGCAACCCAAGGGUAGGCGUGAAGCCUGUCGUAAGACAGGUGAAACUAGAUGAGCAAGUUGCCCAGAAAAUCCCGCAGGGUUAAAAGUAUUAGAUCCGUACCAGAAACCGACACAGGUGGGUAGGCACAAGUGUGCCAAGGUGAACAAGUGAAAGGUCCUGAAGGAACUCGGCAAAAAAGUGGUCGUAACUUCGGGAUAAGACCUCCCUUUUGAACCCAUUACUUUUGUAGUGGGCAUAAAAAGGGCGCAGCGAGCGUAUCUCUAGCGACUGUUUAUCAAAGACACAGGUCCCUGCUCAACUCGUAAGAGGAUGUAUAGGGGCUGAGGCCUGACCAGUGCCAGAGUGUUAAAAGUGGCUGUUGUUUCAGCAAUGGGACAGCUGACCGCUCCAAGCCUCUGGUGAACGUCCGCGGUAACUCUGACCGUGUUAAAGUAGCGUAAUCCCUUGUCGGGUAAGUUCCGACCCGCAUGAAAGGCUUAACGACUAGAGAACUGUCUCCAGGACUUGCUUGGUGAAAUCGCUAUAGGGGUGAGAAUGCCCCUUACCUGUGGCUAGACAGGAAGACCCCGGGAGCUUUACUAUAUCCUGACAUUGAGUUUUGAUGUUAGAUGCGUAGCAUAGGUGGGAGACUUUGAAGCCGUUCUUUUGGGAGCGGUGGAGUCGCCAGUGAAAUACCACUCUUUUAAUGUCAGAAUUCUAAUUUUGCUUGUUGAGGAGACAAGUGGAAGACAGUGUUUGGUUGGUAGUUUAAGUGGAGCGCUUUUCUCCUAAAAGGUAACGGAGAAGUUUAAAGGUCAGCUAGCUCCGGAUGGAAAUCGGAGUAGUCCUGCAAAGGGAAAAGCUGGCUUAACUGCAAGACGGAUAUGUCGCGCAGGUGGGAAACCAGAACUUAGUGAACCGACCAUGGUUCGUAGGACCGUGGAAGAUCAUCAGACAAAAGUUACCCCGGGGAUAACAGGCUGGUAGUGCCCGAGAGUCCACAUCAACGGCACUGUUCGGCACCUCGAUGUCGGCUCAUCACAUCCUGGGGCUGUAGAAGGUCCCAAGGGUUUGGCUGUUCGCCAAUUAAAGUGGUUCGUGAGCUGGGUUCAAACCGUCGUGAGACAGGUUGGUCCAUAUCUACCUCAGGCGUUAAGUUUUGAGGAGAGUUGUCCUUUGUACGAGAGGAUCAGGAUGAACUAACCUCUGGUGUAUCAGUUGUCGCGCCAGCGGCAUCGCUGAGUAGCUAUGUUAGGACGGGAUAAGAGCUGAAAGCAUCUAAGCUCGAAGCCCACUCCAAGAUUAGAACUUUUACCCAGGUUAAAGAUGAUGACCUUGAUAGGGCGCAGGUGUAAGCUCUGUAAAGAGUUGAGCCGAGCGCUACUAAUUGGGUUAAAAAAUCUUUUU